GCAGUGCAAAUGGACAAUAUUGACCUGGCUAAGAGAUGGGAAGAGGAGGGGCAAAUUUUAUUUUUCUAAUGUUCCAAGAUGGAGAGAAAAAAGAACAAAAGAGCAUCUUUUGUCCACAUGUGCCAAGGGAAAGAGUGGUUGGAAGAAGGGAAUACUAAACCCAAAGGCUGGGAGGUCCAGGAUCAUGGUGCCGGCAGAUUCAAUGUCUGAAGGCAACUCAAAACAAGAAGAAGAACAAUAAAUGUAUGUUCUAACAUGGACAAGCUAGACAACAUCUGAAACCCUGAACUAAAAUACAUGAGGAAGAGCCAGCAAAGCAGUUGUGGUCAAACAGGAGCAAGGGAGGAUGCAGGCAGAUAACGCCUACAACUGUGCAUUACAAGCAAAGCUGGCAGAGCACUGUUCUUGGGAGCAUGUCACACUCUGAGGGGAAAACCAACAAUUCUCUGUUGGGAAAACUGGGAAUAUUGUGCUGAGGUGGCAGUUAGGCGCAUCCUUGGACACAGGUAAGCAAUGGGAAGCAGCAGCGUUAGGGGGCUGAAUAAAGAAACACACCACUGUACCAGCUUUGCAAGAAGGAAUCUCUUGAUGAGACAGGAUAGAGAAAGUAGAGACAGCAUUGGUGACAUCCUACAGCAACUCAUCUCUAUUGUCUUGGGAGAAGUAAAAGCAAAACCAAGCUGUACUUACAGGACUGAGUCAUAAGAAAACCCACUGUGAACCAUGGACUGUCCAGCUAAUCCAUAACACUACCUGGCUCCUCCAUCACAUAGAAGUCUUACCAAUAGCAAACCUAAGAAGAACUCAGCUCUUUCAAAGAUGAGUAAUAUAAAUAAAUAUCAACCCAGAAAGCAUCUAUAUAAAGGUACCAAAAGGAAAGAAAGAAAAGGACAGGAAGAGGAAAAACAGUGGAAGAUGGAAGUUCACUC
rnacentral:lncRNA from 1 species